rnacentral:tRNA from 1 species
UGUUUCGUAGUAUAUAAAUCAAUUAUGGUAAACUGCAACUUUACUGAAGCUAUCAAGCCGGAACAU